rnacentral:misc_RNA from 1 species
AAGACUAUAGACCUGCGGAGUACCUGCGGAGGGAUCAUUACAGAGUUGCAAAACUCCCAAACCAUUGUGAACGUUACCUUCUCGUUGCUUCGGCGGGCGGCCCGGGUCCUUCCCGGCGCCCCCCGGCCCCUCGCGGGCGCCCGCCGGAGGUAAACCAAACUCUUGAAUUGUAUGGCCUCUCUGAGUCUUCUGUACUGAAUAAGUCAAAACUUUUAGCAACGGAUCUCUAGAUCGGAAGAG